ensembl:misc_RNA Y_RNA Y RNA
ACCUGGUCAGAAGCUCGUGAGCUAUGUCGCCUGAUUGUUCACAUCAGCUACAGAUCCAACUCCUUGUUCUAUCUUUCUCCUCUUCUCACUAUUGCAGUUGACUAGUCUUAA